rnacentral:rRNA from 1 species
UAACGCGUGGGUAACCUGCCUCAUAUAGGGGGAUAACAGUUAGAAAUGACUGCUAAUACCGCAUAAGCGCACAGUGCUGCAUGGCACAGUGUGAAAAACUCCGGUGGUAUGAGAUGGACUCGCGUCUGAUUAGCUAGUUGGUGGGGUAACGGCCUACCAAGGCGACGAUCAGUAGCCGGCCUGAGAGGGUGACCGGCCACAUUGGGACUGAGACACGGCCCAA